rnacentral:lncRNA from 1 species
UCAUCUUCUUCCCCAUCUCCUCCCUUCAACCCUCGUCGCCCCCAAGAUCUCUACCAUCCCCAUCUUCGUCAACCUUGCUUCAUCUACAACCACACAUCACCACUCAGGUACAGACGAAGCCAUCGAUCAUCUCACGCCUAGCCAAAACGUUCGUGGCGCGUCCACCUAAGGUUGCCCGAGUCGAAGAUUUUCCCGUCGUGCCUCCGUUUCUUCCUCUGUCACACUCCACCGCAAGCCGCCAACGAUGACUCGUCGCUUGCCACACGCUUCACAAGUCGCACGCCUAUCUAUUUCGUCCUAGUCUGAGUCGCAUUCCUUUUCAUUGAGCCGUGUGAGCCGCGAUCUUCUCUUGCACGAGUCGUCUCUGUUUUUCCAAACCACAUGCAUGUUUCAUCCUCCAUGAGCCGUGCGCCCGAGUUGUACCCUAUUUUGGAGUCACUUUUGAUGAGUUUUGCUUAGUUUUUUAUUGGGUUUGGUACCUCCAUUAAUUACUUAUUUUGUCCCAAAAUGAGUUAAGCUAUGGAUUUAAAUUGAUUUAUAUUUGCUUAAAGGUUCAAGUGUAAUUUGAAGAAUUGAGGCUGUAAAUUUUUUUAUUUAAGGUUGUGUUGGAUUCAACCUUAAUCUUCGGGUAAGUUUGGAUAAGUUUGGUAGUCUAAUUAAACAGUAGGUGAUAAUAGUUGACAAAAUUAUUAACUUUAAUGUUUUUCAUGUUUAGGACCGAAUAUUGGGAGGGUCAACCAAGGAGUUAUUAAUUUAGCAAAUCUCAAGGUAAGAAAUUUUCCUAUUAGACCCCACUUUGAAGCUGCAUGUAUGUUCUGUAUGACUCAGUUGUGUAGCUAAGGGAGAUGGAAUAUGACUAUUUGAGAUGACCUUAUAAAUGGUCACUUCGGUGCAUGUAUGUUCUGUAUGACUCAGUUGUGUAGCUAAGGGAGAUAGAAUAUGACUAUUUGAGAUGACCUUAUAAAUAGUCACUUCGGUAACCAUAUUAUGAUUGAGAUACAAUAUGAUUGGAGCAUGGAAUGAGAUUAAAUAUGCUAUGUUUGAGUUAUGUCUGACUGAGUUAUGAUAUUGAGGUUAUAAUAUAUAUGUAUAGGCUAUAGUUUUCGGUUAGGUCUACCGCCUAUGUGGCUAGUUUUGAUGUGUGAUUCAACGGGAUUACUUACCGCCCGACUCUCCUUUAGGAUGAUUCCUUCGGGUUCAUCGAGAGCCUAGAUGUGUCCCUAUGGGACCACUGGAUAGUGUGUAUUCGGGAGCACAAUAGUAUGCGGUACUUUAUUACAAGAUUCUAAUGGGAGGUUAACAGACACAUAACAGGACUAAUAGUAUACAAAGGUAGAGAUAAAGGCAAGUUGGCGAAUGACAACAAGUGACCGUGG